AUACCGUGAUGUGGGCACAUAUAUUGGUAAUCUUUGAAUCUCUCCCACGCAUCAUGAAAAGUUUCCCCCGCAUCUUGUGAGAAACUAUAGAGCUUAACUCUGUAGUCG